rnacentral:rRNA from 1 species
UACGUAGGGUGCAGGCGUUAAUCGGAAUUACUGGGCGUAAAGCGUGCGCAGGCGGCUUCCCAAGUCAGAUGUGGAAUCCCCGGGCUUAACCUGGGAACUGCGUUUGAAACUGGGGGGCUAGAGUGCGGCAGAGGGGGGUGGAAUUCCACGUGUAGCAGUGAAAUGCGUAGAUAUGUGGAGGAACACCGAUGGCGAAGGCAGCCCCCUGGGCCUGCACUGACGCUCAUGCACGAAAGCGUGGGGAGCAAACAGG